AUGGGGAUGAGGCACCAGAUUGGCUGUGGGCCCGAAGUGAGGCUGCGGGCGGCCGUGACCCUGCUGGAGUCCAGGGGGGACCUCCAGCCCCCCGGGGGGUCCCUGCGCCUCCUCUGCCGAGGCUCUGGGUUCGAUUUUGGGGGUUCCACCAUGUACUGGGUUCGCCAGAGACCCAGGCAGGCGCUGGAGUGGCUCGCAGGGUUCAGCACCAGUGGCAGCACCUACUACGCGCCCUCGGUCAAGGGCCGGGUCAGGAUCUCCAGGGACAACGGGCAGAGCUCGGUGACGCUGACCAUGAACAACCUCAAGGACGAGGAUUCCGGAUCCUAUUUCUGCGCCAAAGCUGCCGGUGCUUAUGGUGAUGGUGCUGCUGGUUAUGGUCGAUGA